rnacentral:rRNA from 1 species
AACGAACGCUGGCGGCGUGGAUAAGACAUGCAAGUCGAGCGCUAAUUUGGAGGUAGCAAUAUUUUCAGGUUGGAGCGGCGCAAGGGUGCGUAACACGUGGGUAAUCUGCCGUGAAGUUGGGGAUAACUCGCUGAAAGGCGAGCUAAUACCGAAUGUGAAAAUUGAAAGGCAUCUUUUGAUUUUUAAAGUUGGGGAUCGUAAGACCUGACGCUUCAUGAUGAACCCGCGGCCUANCAGCUAGUUGGUGAGGUAAUGGCUCACCAAGGCUAAGACGGGUAGCUGGUCUGAGAGGACGACCAGCCACACUGGAACUGAGACACGGUCCAGACACCUACGGGUGGCAGCAGUCGAGUAAUUUUUCUCAAUGGGCGAAAGCCUAGAAGGAGCGACGCCGCGGUGGGGGAUGAAUGGCUUCGGCCCCGUAAACCCCUGUCAUUUGUGAACAAUGCUCGUCGUUUUAAUACNUCGUGAGUUGAUAGUAGCGGAAGAGGAAGGGACGGCUAACUC